AGCUGUGAUGAGAAGAAGUAAAAAUAUAAAUUCUUUUAAAGAGAGCUUCUGGUUGGUGAAAAGAAGAAAAGAAAGAUAUUUUGAAU
rnacentral:ncRNA from 6 species